rnacentral:lncRNA from 1 species
UGGAAGAAAAUAGAACAGUAAACUUACAAUUUGAACACCUUCAAAAAGUUCUUUUCUUCACCUAUUUUCAAGCACAUUUCACGCAGUAGAUCAUGAACCUUACAAGUUUUGACUUCUCUAUCAAAGCUUCAUUUGGAAACAAGUACCAAGCUCCUAUCAAUUAGUUGCAUCAGAUAUUCUAGGGCCACAUCCUCUAAGCAUUUCUGAUCUUCCUUCUUUAUAAAUCCUUCGGCCUUCCAAAGAGAUAUCAACUUCCGUACUGGGAUUUCCUCAUCUUCCUCAAAUGCUCCAAAGUAAAGAAAACACUGUUUCAAAUGGUUUGGUAAAUGUUCAUAGCUAAGUUCCAAUAUCUUCACGAAUUUGUUUGGGUUGUCUGAUAGAUGUGAACUUAAAUUUCUUGCAACUUCUUGCUACAAGUGUUCUUUCUUCUCCAUGUUUGCAAGGACUAUAGCUAUCACAACCACUGCGAGUGGUAAGCCAUGGCAACUUGUUGCAAUUUUCUUCCCAAUGUUUAACAAUUCUUGAGGACAAUUUUUAUCUUCAAACACCUUCCUUUUUAAUAAUUCCCAACAUUCAGCAUCCGACAGAAAAG